rnacentral:rRNA from 1 species
UACGAGGGGUCCUAGCGUUGUUCGGAAUCAUUGGGCGUAAAGCGUCUGUAGGCGGCUUUGUAAGUCAGGUGUGAAAGCCCGGGGCUCAACCCCGGAACUGCCUUUGAAACUAGGUUGCUAGAAUCUUGGAGAGGUCAGUGGAAUUCCGAGUGUAGAGGUGAAAUUCGUAGAUAUUCGGAAGAACACCAGUGGCGAAGGCGACUGACUGGACAAGUAUUGACGCUGAGGUGCGAAAGCGUGGGGAGCAAACAGG